rnacentral:rRNA from 1 species
GACGAACGCUGGCGGCGUGCUUAACACAUGCAAGUCGAACGGAAAGGCUCCAGCUUGCUGGAGUACUCGAGUGGCGAACGGGUGAGUAACACGUGGGUGAUCUGCCCUGCACUUCGGGAUAAGCCUGGGAAACUGGGUCUAAUACCGGAUAGGACCGCACUUUGGUGUGUGUGGUGGAAAGGUUUUUCUGGUGUGGGAUGAGCUCGCGGCCUAUCAGUUUGUUGGUGGGGUAAUGGCCUACCAAGACGGCGACGGGUAGCCGGCCUGAGAGGGUGGACGGUCACAUUGGGACUGAGAUACGGCCCAGACUCCUACGGGAGGCAGCAGUGGGGAAUAUUGCACAAUGGGGGAAACCCUGAUGCAGCGACGCCGCGUGGGGGAAGAAGGCCUUCGGGUUGUAAACUCCUUUCGCUAGGGACGAAGCUUUUUGUGACGGUACCUGGAGAAGAAGCACCGGCUAACUACGUG